rnacentral:rRNA from 1 species
GGGUUGUGAGGUUAAGCGACUAAGCGUACACGGUGGAUGCCCUGGCAGUCAGAGGCGAUGAAGGGCGUGCUAAUCUGCGAUAAGCGCCGGUAAGGUGAUAUGAACCGUUAUAACCGGCGAUACCCGAAUGGGGAAACCCAGUGUGAUUCGUCACACUAUCAUUACGUGAAUACAUAGCGUAAUGAAGCGAACCGGGGGAACUGAAACAUCUAAGUACCCCGAGGAAAAGAAAUCAACCGAGAUUCCCCCAGUAGCGGCGAGCGAACGGGGAGGAGCCCAGAGCCUGAAUCAGCAUGUGUGUUAGUGGAAGCGUCUGGAAAGGCGCGCGAUACAGGGUGACAGCCCCGUACACAAAAGCGCAUGUGUUGUGAGCUCGAUGAGUAGGGCGGGACACGUGGUAUCCUGUCUGAAUAUGGGGGGACCAUCCUCCAAGGCUAAAUACUCCUGACUGACCGAUAGUGAACCAGUACCGUGAGGGAAAGGCGAAAAGAACCCCGGCGAGGGGAGUGAAAAAGAACCUGAAACCGUGUACGUACAAGCAGUGGGAGCACCCUUUGGGGUGUGACUGCGUACCUUUUGUAUAAUGGGUCAGCGACUUAUAUUCUGUAGCAAGGUUAACCGAAUAGGGGAGCCGGAGGGAAACCGAGUCUUAAUUGGGCGUUAAGUUGCAGGGUAUAGACCCGAAACCCGGUGAUCUAGCCAUGGGCAGGUUGAAGGUUGGG